UGAUAGGCGUCGACCGGCGCACGGGUGAGUAACGCGUAUCCAACCUGCCCAUCACUUGGGGGAUAACCUUGUGAAAGUAAGACUAAUACCCAAUGACGUCUCUAGAAGACAUCUGAAGGAGAUUAAAGAUUUUAUCGGUGAUGGAUGGGGAUGCGUCUGAUUAGCUUGUUGGCGGGGUAACGGCCCACCAAGGCGACGAUCAGUAGGGGUUCUGAGAGGAAGGUCCCCCACAUUGGAACUGAGACACGGUCCAAACUCCUACGGGAGGCAGCAGUGAGGAAUAUUGGUCAAUGGACGAGAGUCUGAACCAGCCAAGUAGCGUGCAGGAUGACGGCCCUAUGGGUUGUAAACUGCUUUUACAAGGGAAUAAAGUGAGUCUCGUGAGACUUUUUGCAUGUACCUUAUGAAUAAGGACCGGCUAAUUCCGUG
rnacentral:rRNA from 1 species